AUUGAACGCUGGCGGCAUGCCUUACACAUGCAAGUCGAACGGUAACAGGUCUUCGGAUGCUGACGAGUGGCGAACGGGUGAGUAAUACAUCGGAACGUGCCUAGUAGUGGGGGAUAACUACUCGAAAGAGUGGCUAAUACCGCAUGAGAUCUACGGAUGAAAGCAGGGGAUCGCAAGACCUUGUGCUACUAGAGCGGCCGAUGGCAGAUUAGGUUGUUGGUGGGAUAAAAGCUGACCAAGCCGACGAUCUGUAGCUGGUCUGAGAGGACGAUCAGCCACACUGGGACUGAGACACGGCCCAGACUCCUACGGGAGGCAGCAGUGGGGAAUUUUGGACAAUGGGCGCAAGCCUGAUCCAGCAAUGCCGCGUGCAGGAUGAGGGCCUUCGGGUUGUAAACUGCUUUUGUACGGAACGAAAAGCCCCGGGUUAAUACCCUGGGGUCAUGACGGUACCGUAAGAAUAAGCACCGGCUAACUACGUGCCAGCCGCCGCCGUAA
rnacentral:rRNA from 1 species